rnacentral:lncRNA from 1 species
AACUCAUUUCUCUUUUGAAUAACUGUGCCUAUAUAAAUAAUAAAUAUUUGAGCUCAUGAACCUGGUAAUUUUAGAGUAUGACCAAAAUGCAACUAACCAUACAUGAGAAAAGGUUAUGGAUGACAUGUACUGAAACCUUAUCAUACUAAAAUUGUACAGUGCAAGGCAGAAACUAAGUCACAAACAUGACAAAUACCUACGACUUAGUUUUUUAGUAAUACAGGAUUCAGAGUCAGCAGAUUAGGGUUCAAGUCCAUAUUUCUUCACUUACUAACUGGAGAAAUAACUUUAGCAAAUUUAUUUUCCAACACUCAGUGUUUUAAUCUAUAAAAUACAAAAUAAAAAUACUACUUAUCUCAUUGGGCAAUUACGAGAAUCAAAUUAUAUAAUGCAUGUAAGCUGCUCAACGUGUGGUCUGGCAGAUAAGAACUCAAUAAAUGUGUUCUUACUGAAACUCCAAGGCACCUGGUACACAUUGCUUCUGAUCUUUUAAAUUUAGGAUUAAUAUUGAUAUUUGUGAGUUUAAUAUUGUCAUUUAAUGCUAGCUGGCUAUUUUGCCCAUUAGUUGAUAUAGAUUCUUCAUUAUGGAGAUACUCUUUACCUUUUGGUAAGUUUUUGGGAUGACUGAUACUGGUUGUUCCUUUCUGUGUGUAGUGCUUCUUUCAGAAGCUCUUGUAAAGCAGGCCUGGUGGUGAUGAAAUGCUUGCUUGUUCGUGAAAAAAUUUAUUUUUCCUUCAUUUAUGAAGCUUAGUUUGGCUGGAUAUGAGAUUCUGGGUUGAAAAGUCUUUUCUUUGAGGACAUUGAAUAUUGACCCCCCACUCUCUUCUAGUUUGUACGGUUUCUGCUGAGAGAUCUGUUGUGAGUCUGAUAGGCUUCCCUUUAUGGGUAACCUGAGCUUUCUCUCUAGCUGCCCUUAGACUGUUCUCCUUUAUUUCAAACCUGGUGAAUCUAACGAUUAUGUGUCUUGGGGUUGCUCUACUUGAGGAAUAUCUUUGUGGUGUUCUCUGUAUUACCUAGAGUUGAGUAUUGUCCUGUCUUUCUAGGUUAGGAAAGUUUUCCUGAAUAAUAUCCUGAAGAAUAUUUUCCAGCUUGGAUUCAUUCUCUUCAUGACAUUCAGAUACACCUAUCAAAUGUAAAUUAGGUCUUUUCACAUAGUCCCAUAUUUCUUGGAGACUUUGCUCAUUCCUUUUUACUCUUUCUUCUCUAAUCUUGUCUUCUCAUUUCAUUUCACUAAGGUGGUCUUCAACCUGAUAUCCUUUCUUCUGCUUGAUCAAUUUGAUUGUUAAAACCUGUGCAUACUUUGUGGAGUUCUCAUAUUGUAUUCUUCAGUUCCAUUAUUUCACUUAUAUUCCUCUCUAAAUUGUCUAUUCUCAUUAGGAUUUCAUCAGACAUUUUUUUCAAGGUUCUUAGUUUCUUUACAUUAGGCUAGAACAUGUUCUUUUAACUCACAGAAGCUUCUUAUUAUCCACGUUCUGAAGCCUAAUUCUGUUAAUGGAAUGCACUCAUUCUCCAUCAGGCCUUGUUCCCUUGUUGAUGAGGAACUGUAAUCCUCUGUAGAGGGAGAGGCAUUCUGAUUUUGAGUAUUCUCAGCCUUUUUAUGCUGGUUUCCUCUUGUCAUUGUAAAUUUAUCCACCUGUCGUCUUUGUAAUUACCAACUUUCAAAUUAGGUCUCUGAGUGGACGUCCAACUUAGUGAUUCCCAGUGCCAGUGCUGGCUAAAACAGCAGCAUUAAGAUUCAUGGUGCUUUACUGCCUGGGAAUCUCUGGUCUGGCUUCCUUCUUCUGGCUAAAACAGCAGCAUUAAGAUUCAUGGUGCUUUACUGCCUGGGAAUCUCUGGUCUGGCUUCCUUCUUCUGGCUA